GAUCAUUAAUAUUUGAUAUUCUGAUUUUUUCUCUUUCAUUAGGGGGAUCUUCAGUAAUAUUCUAUUUUACUGUGAACUGUAUUAUUACGAGAUGUUUGAGGGAUGCUUACCGACUAUAAGGGAUAGGUCGGUAGGAUGUUAACCGAGUCUCGAUCAAGCUUUCUUUUUAAGCUUGGUAUCCUAUUAUUAUUUACCAAAAGAAUUCAGUAUAAAAUAUUGUAACAUAGACCUAAAAAAUCUAUAAAAACAACUUUUAACAACGGAUCUCUUGGUUCUCGCAUCGAUGAAGAACGUAGCAAAGUGCGAUAACUAGUGUGAAUUGCAUAUUCAGUGAAUCAUCGAGUCUUUGAACGCAUCUUGCGCUCAUUGGUAUUCCAAUGAGCACGCCUGUUUCAGUAUCAGAAACACCCCACAUUCAAAAUCUUUUUUUUGAGUGGAACUGAGUCGUUUACGGUUUUUUUUUUUUAAACGAAAAAAAGACUGUUCGCUUUAAAAAUAUUAGGCCUGGAAUUUAGUAUUUUCUGCUUGCCUGAACUUUUUUUUUAAUAUAAAGGAAAAGCUCUUGUCAAACUUGUGAAGUCUAAAAGCUUUGGGGCCUCUCAAAUAAAACUUCUUAAAUUG
rnacentral:misc_RNA from 1 species